rnacentral:tRNA from 1 species
AGGAAAUAGUUUAUAUAAAAUAUUAAUUUUGGAGAUUAAUGAAAAAAGGUAACUUUUUUUCCUGAA